rnacentral:rRNA from 1 species
CCUACGGGGGGCAGCAGUGAGGAAUAUUGGUCAAUGGACGAGAGUCUGAACCAGCCAAGUAGCGUGAAGGAUGACUGCCCUAUGGGUUGUAAACUUCUUUUAUAUGGGAAUAAAAUGUUCCACGUGUGGGAUUUUGUAUGUACCAUAUGAAUAAGGAUCGGCUAACUCCGUGCCAGCAGCCGCGGUAAUACGGAGGAUCCGAGCGUUAUCCGGAUUUAUUGGGUUUAAAGUGAGCGUAGGUGGAUUGUUAAGUCAGUUGUGAAAGUUUGCGGCUCAACCGUAGAAUUGCAGUUGAAACUGGCAGUCUUGAGUACAGUAGAGGUGGGCGGAAUGCGUGGUGUAGCGGUGAAAUGCUUAGAUAUCACGAAGAACUCCGAUUGCGAAGGCAGUUCACUGGACUGCAACUGACACUGAGGCUCGAAAGUGUGGGUAUCAAACAGGAUUAGAUACCCGAGUAGUC